GGAGCAGUAGUUAAGCUGGUUAUAACGCCGGCCUGUCACGCCGGAGGCCGGGGGUUCAAGUCCCCUCUGCUCCGCCA
rnacentral:tRNA from 1 species